rnacentral:lncRNA from 1 species
CAGAGAUGUCAAAGGUACCUUAUGCCAGCGCAGUUGGAUGUUUGAUGUAUGUAAUGGUGUGUACCAGACCAGAUUUAGCAUAUGCAGUCAGUGUGGUUAGUAAGUAUAUGGCUAAUCCUGGUAGAGAGUAUUGGAGAGCUGUAAAGUGGAUUUUCAGGUACUUGAAAGGUACAAUGGAGUGCGGGAUCAUGUUUGAGAGACAACAUGGUGAUAUUUCAGUUCAAGGAUAUGUAGAUGCAGAUUAUGCAGGGGACUUGGAUGACAGAAGGUCCCAUACAGGUUAUGUUUUCACACUCGCAGGUGGGCCCAUAUGUUGGAGGUCAAUGGUGCAAUCACUUGUGGCAUUAUCUACAACUGAAGCAGAGUACAUGGCGGCAACUGAGGCAGCCAAGGAAUUAUUGUGGUUGAAAGGGCUUGUCAGGGAACUUGGAAUCAAG